rnacentral:rRNA from 1 species
CAGAAGGGAGCUUGCUCCCGGAUGUUAGCGGCGGACGGGUGAGUAACACGUGGGUAACCUGCCUGUAAGACUGGGAUAACUCCGGGAAACCGGAGCUAAUACCGGAUAGUUCCUUGAACCGCAUGGUUCAAGGAUGAAAGACGGUUUCGGCUGUCACUUACAGAUGGACCCGCGGCGCAUUAGCUAGUUGGUGGGGUAAUGGCUCACCAAGGCGACGAUGCGUAGCCGACCUGAGAGGGUGAUCGGCCACACUGGGACUGAGACACGGCCCAGACUCCUACGGGAGGCAGCAGUAGGGAAUCUUCCGCAAUGGACGAAAGUCUGACGGAGCAACGCCGCGUGAGUGAUGAAGGUUUUCGGAUCGUAAAGCUCUGUUGUUAGGGAAGAACAAGUGCGAGAGUAACUGCUCGCACCUUGACGGUACCUAACCAGAAAGCCACGGCUAACUACGUGCCAGCAGCCGCGGUAAUACGUAGGUGGCAAGCGUUGUCCGGAAUUAUUGGGCGUAAAGGGCUCGCAGGCGGUUUCUUAAGUCUGAUGUGAAAGCCCCCGGCUCAACCGGGGAGGGUCAUUGGAAACUGGGAAACUUGAGUGCAGAAGAGGAGAGUGGAAUUCCACGUGUAGCGGUGAAAUGCGUAGAGAUGUGGAGGAACACCAGUGGCGAAGGCGACUCUCUGGUCUGUAACUGACGCUGAGGAGCGAAAGCGUGGGGAGCGAACAGGAUUAGAUACCCUGGUAGUCCACGCCGUAAACGAUGAGUGCUAAGUGUUAG